UGGGGGGUAUUGCGCAAUGGGCGGAAGCCUGACGCAGCGACGCCGCGUGAGGGACGGAGGCCUUCGGGUUGUGAACCUCUUUCGCCGGUGGAGAAGGCGCCCCCGUGUGGGGUGCUGACUGUAGCCGGGUUAAGAAGCGCCGGCUAACUACGUGCCAGCAGCCGCGGUAAUACGUAGGGCGCGAGCGUUGUCCGGAGUUACUGGGCGUAAAGGGCUUGUAGGCGGCCGGUCGCGUCCGCCGUGAAAUCCCCUGGCUCAACCGGGGGCGUGCGGUGGGUACGGGCCGGCUUGAGUGCGGUAGGGGAGGCUGGAACUCCUGGUGUAGCGGUGGAAUGCGCAGAUAUCAGGAAGAACACCGGUGGCGAAGGCGGGUCUCUGGGCCGUUACUGACGCUGAGGAGCGAGAGCGUGGGGAGCGAACA
rnacentral:rRNA from 1 species